rnacentral:rRNA from 1 species
AUUGAACGCUGGCGGCAUGCCUUACACAUGCAAGUCGAACGGCAGCACGGGUGCUUGCCCCUGGUGGCGAGUGGCGAACGGGUGAGUAAUACAUCGGAACAUGUCCUUUAGUGGGGGAUAGCCCGGCGAAAGCCGGAUUAAUACCGCAUACGAUCUACGGCUGAAAGCGGGGGACCUUCGGGCCUCGCGCUAUAGGGUUGGCCGAUGGCUGAUUAGCUAGUUGGUGGGGUAAAGGCCUACCAAGGCGACGAUCAGUAGCUGGUCUGAGAGGACGACCAGCCACACUGGGACUGAGACACGGCCCAGACUCCUACGGGAGGCAGCAGUGGGGAAUUUUGGACAAUGGGCGAAAGCCUGAUCCAGCAAUGCCGCGUGUGUGAAGAAGGCCUUCGGGUUGUAAAGCACUUUUGUCCGGAAAGAAAUCCUUGGCCCUAAUACGGUCGGGGGAUGACGGUACCGGAAGAAUAAGCACCGGCUAACUACGUG